GACAGAGGGGGCAAGCGUUGUCCGGACUUACUGGGCGUACAGCGCGCGCAGGCGGGUCGUGAUGUGCCCGGUGACAGCCCGCCGCUCACCGGCGGGGGGUCUGGGUAGACACACGGCCUCGAGGGCGGGAGAGGGCGGUGGAAUCCCCGGUGGAGCGGUGAAAUGCGUAGAGAUCGGGGGGAACACCAGCGGCGCAGGCGGCCGCCUGGCCCGCAGCUGACGCUGAGGCGCGACAGCGUGGGGAGCAAACGGGAUUAGAAACCCCAGUAGUCC
rnacentral:rRNA from 1 species